rnacentral:hammerhead_ribozyme from 1 species
GCACUGCUGAGGACUCCGACAAUAGGACGAAACGGCCGUCCAGUGC